UACGUAGGGACCGAGCGUUGUCCGGAAUUAUUGGGCGUAAAGAGCGUGUAGGCGGCUUGUUAAGUCUUGCGUGAAAUCUCGGGGCUCAACCCCGAGCGGUCGUGAGAAACUGGCAGGCUAGAGUGCGGGAGAGGAGAGUGGAAUUCCUGGUGUAGCGGUGAAAUGCGCAGAUAUCAGGAAGAACACCGGUGGCGAAGGCGGGUCUCUGGGCAGUAACUGACGCUGAGGAGCGAAAGCGUGGGGAGCGAACAGG
rnacentral:rRNA from 1 species